CACGUAGGGCGCGAGCGUUGUCCGGAAUUAUUGGGCGUAAAGAGCUCGUAGGCGGCCUGUUGCGUCCGCUGUGAAAUCCCGGGGCUUAACCCCGGGCUUGCAGUGGAUACGGGCAGGCUGGAGGCCGGCAGGGGAGAACGGAAUUCCCGGUGUAGCGGUGAAAUGCGCAGAUAUCGGGAGGAACACCGGUGGCGAAGGCGGUUCUCUGGGCCUGUACUGACGCUGAGGAGCGAAAGCGUGGGGAGCGAACAGG
rnacentral:rRNA from 1 species